rnacentral:rRNA from 1 species
CACGUAGGUGGCGAACGUUAUCCGGAAUCACUGGGCGUAAAGGGUCCGUAGGCGGUUGGGCAAGUCUGAUGUGAAAGCGCCUGGCUUAACUAGGCGAGGGCAUUGGAAACGGUCCGACUUGAAUCGCGCAGAGGUCGGUGGAAUUCCCGGUGUAGUGGUGGAAUGCGUAGAGAUCGGGAGGAACCUCGAAGGCGUAGGCAGCCGGCUGGGCGACGAUUGACGCUGAGGGACGAGAGCGUGGGGAGCGAACAGG